rnacentral:rRNA from 1 species
UACGGAGGGUGCAAGCGUUAUCCGGAUUUACUGGGUUUAAAGGGUGCGUAGGUGGGUUGGGAAGUCAGUGGUGAAAUACUUUCGCUUAACGAAGGAACUGCCAUUGAUACUAUCAAUCUUGAAUGUAGUGGAGGUAGGCGGAAUGCGUCAUGUAGCGGUGAAAUGCUUAGAUGUGACGCAGAACACCAAUUGCGAAGGCAGCUUGCUACACUACUAUUGACACUGAGGCACGAAAGCGUGGGGAUCAAACAGG